GCUGGGGUGGCGGAACUGGCAUACGCGCACGUUUGAGGGGCGUGUCCUUAACCGGAUGCGGGUUCAAAUCCCGCCCUCAGCACCA
rnacentral:tRNA from 1 species